rnacentral:RNase_P_RNA from 2 species
GCGGUGGGCCGGACGAUCGCUGGUCCCGGGACUGCUCGCAGUCACCAGGACGGGAGGCAAAGUCCGGGCUCCCAGUUUGUCGCUUUAAGACAGGGCGCCGGGUAACCCCCGGCGGGAGCAAUCCCAGGGAAAGCGCCACAGAGAGCAAACCGCCGCACCGCCCCCGGUCGUUACUGGGGAGCUGCGGUAAGGGUGAAAGGGUGCGGUAAGAGCGCACCGCGCGUCCUGGCAACAGGCGCGGCACGGCAAGCCCCGCCCGGAGCAAGGCCAAAUAGGGGAGACGCGGAUUCGUCCGCUGAUCCCGGGUAGGCUGCUGGAGACGGCCCGCAAGGGUCGCCCUAGAUGAAUGAUCGUCGCCCCGCCCCCUGUGGGAAAGACGCGGGGACCAGAACCCGGCUUACAGGCCCGCCGCGUCC